rfam:Oryza nivara chromosome 7, whole genome shotgun sequence.
AAUAAAUGCAGUUUUGCAUUAUUCACGUUCAACGUUUCACCGUUCGUCUUAUUUGAAAAUUUGUUAUAAUUAGUAUUUUCAUUGCUAUUAGAUGAUAAAACAUGAACAGUACUUUAUGUGUGACUAAAUAUUUUCAAAUUUUUCACAUUUUUUUUAAAUAAGACGAAUGGUCAAACGUUGGGCACGGAUAUCCACGUAUGCACUUGUU